rnacentral:rRNA from 1 species
AUAAACGCUGGCGGCGUGCAUGAGACAUGCACGUCGCACGCAGGAUCGGGCUUGCUCGAUCCUUAGUGGCGGACGGCUGAGUAACGCGUAGGUGACCUACCCCGAAGUGGGGAAUAACUGCCCGAAAGGGUGGCUAAUACCGCAUGUGGUCGCACGUUCAUUCGUGCGAGUAAAGCCGCAAGGCGCUUCGGGAGGGGCCUGCGUCCGAUUAGCUCGUUGGUGGGGUAAUGGCUUACCAAGGCGACGAUCGGUAGGUGGUCUGAGAGGACGAUCACCCAGACUGGGACUGAGACACGGCCCAGACUCCUACGGGAGGCAGCAGUCGGGAAUUUUGCUCAAUGGGGGAAACCCUGAAGCAGCAACGCCGCGUGAGGGAUGAAGGCCUUCGGGUUGUAAACCUCUUUUGUCAGGGACGAUGAUGACGGUACCUGGCGAAUAAGCCACGGCUAACUACGUG